GAUGAAGAACGCAGCGAAAUGCGAUACUUGGUGUGAAUUGCAGAAUCCCGUGAACCAUCGAGUCUUUGAACGCAAGUUGCGCCCGAAGCCAUUAGGCCGAGGGCACGCCUGCCUGGGCGUCACACGUCGUUGCCCCCCCAUCUACUCCUUCGGGAUUGCGGGGGGCGGAUGAUGGCCUCCCGUGCGCCUCGUCGCGCGGUUGGCAUAAAUGCUAAGUCCUCGGCGACGCACGCCACGACAAUCGGUGGUUGCGAAACCUCGGUUGCCCGUCGUGUGCGGUCGUCGCGCAUCGAGGGCUCGAAAAAAUUGCCGGGCUCCGGCUCGGCUUUCAACGCGACCCCAGGUCAGGCGGGGUUACCCGCUGAAUUUAAGCAUAUCAAUAAGCGGAGGA
rnacentral:misc_RNA from 1 species